rnacentral:rRNA from 1 species
UACGUAGGUGACAAGCGUUAUCCGGAGUUACUGGGCGUAAAGGGCAGGCAGGCGGGUCGAUAAGUCGGAUGUGAAAUCUCCCUGGCUUAACCGGGAGAGUGCAUUUGAGACUGUCAACCUGGAGGGCAGCAGAGGAGCGUGGAAUUCCGGGUGGAGUGGUGAAAUGCGUAGAGAUCCGGAGGAACACCAGAGGCGAAAGCGGCGCUCUGGGCUGCACCUGACGCUGAACUGCGAAAGCCAGGGGAGCGAACGGG